rnacentral:rRNA from 1 species
GGGCGUUAAGUUGCAGGGUAUAGACCCGAAACCCGGUGAUCUAGCCAUGGGCAGGUUGAAGGUUGGGUAACACUAACUGGAGGACCGAACCGACUAAUGUUGAAAAAUUAGCGGAUGACCUGUGGCUGGGGGUGAAAGGCCAAUCAAACCGGGAGAUAGCUGGUUCUCCCCGAAAGCUAUUUAGGUAGCGCCUCGUGAAUUCAUCUCCGGGGGUAGAGCACUGUUUCGGCUAGGGGGCCAUCCCGGCUUACCAACCCGAUGCAAACUGCGAAUACCGGAGAAUGUUAUCACGGGAGACACACGGCGGGUGCUAACGUCCGUCGUGAAGAGGGAAACAACCCAGACCGCCAGCUAAGGUCCCAAAGUCAUGGUUAAGUGGGAAACGAUGUGGGAAGGCCCAGACAGCCAGGAUGUUGGCUUAGAAGCAGCCAUCAUUUAAAGAAAGCGUAAUAGCUCACUGGUCGAGUCGGCCUGCGCGGAAGAUGUAACGGGGCUAAACCAUGCACCGAAGCUGCGGCAGCGACACUGUGUGUUGUUGGGUAGGGGAGCGUUCUGUAAGCCUGCGAAGGUGGCCUGUGAGGGUUGCUGGAGGUAUCAGAAGUGCGAAUGCUGACAUAAGUAACGAUAAAGCGGGUGAAAAGCCCGCUCGCCGGAAGACCAAGGGUUCCUGUCCAACGUUAAUCGGGGCAGGGUGAGUCGACCCCUAAGGCGAGGCCGAAAGGCGUAGUCGAUGGGAAAC